rfam:Capsicum annuum cultivar Zunla-1 chromosome 1, whole genome shotgun sequence
AAUGAUGAUAAAGGCAAUUCCUGAGCAUAGCCUUGAAUCUUUGUUAAGCUUAGUAAAGAUUCUCUCCAUCUUUCUGCCUGAAACUCAGAAUCUCACUUCUAAAAUU